CUCUGAAGGUUCCUAAAACACAAAACCUAAAACCACAAAAGCCAAUAACGUGGUUAAUUUGAGAGGACCGUUUCAGGUCGACAGUUUCAAUACCUCUGAUUCAACACCUAACUACUGGCUGCUGUUGUUUGAUCAGUGCAGGUAUAUGACAAAAGUGGUCUGAACUCGAGGAGUCGUGUGGUUACCGCGGGACGAGUUUUCCUGUGGGCCGAGAGACACGGAUGCUUCUGGAGGCUGCUCAAACAACAUGAGCUGACUCGGCUGCUCACUACAAGACGGCUGCGUCCUCGAGUGGGAGGAAAAUGACUAAAUAUCUGUGUCUGUGAAAUAGCCCAAAACCCACUUGAGGCGCCCCCCACAGGAGGACAGAGGUACUGUGUUACUGGACAGCAUACAAAGACAAAGGAAGAGUAGGACGAGGAGUGUUUCUCUCAUCCCCUUGAAGUCUUAAGCAGAGAUCUCACUUUUGUAU